UUUGCUCUUCCUUUCACGUGUGCGUACGAUAACCAGGCAGUCUGACUACCCACUCAGAUACAUUCAUGAGGCAUAUUAUGCAAUUUCGUACGUAUAGACAGACAGACCGACACACACACACGUGUCACUUGUCGGUAUUGUCAACAAACGAAGAAGAAAGCACACUACUGGGUACAACUAAUAUUCCGGAUGUUUCCCGACCAUUCCCAUCACUGCUUGUGAACGGAAAUGUGCUCUCGACAGGGAUGUUGCACAUUACAACCAUCGCUGACAUCACGUGUAUAAUGGUGCUACAGACUAGACACGUGCGUCAGCGCGGGUAGGGUCACACAGGGGAGGAAGUGAGAGUCGUCAGCAGGGCGUCAGAUCGGCUUCACGUGAGCACAACUUUAUUCCUCCACAAGGGCAGAUACAGGUCAUCCUGCUGGUUAGUGACCACCAUGCAAGCCUUUAGUCCUUCUGACUUCUUUGUCUCUCACACACACACACAGGGAAAAGAAACCAACUGGGCCCAGCUGCAUAGCACAUCACUAAGGC